CCUACGGGUGGCAGCAGUAGGGAAUCUUCCACAAUGGGCGCAAGCCUGAUGGAGCAACACCGCGUGAGUGAAGAAGGUUUUCGGCUCGUAAAGCUCUGUUGUUGGAGAAGAACGUGCGUGUGAGUAACUGUUCACGCCUUGACGGUAUCUAACCAGAAAGUCCCGGCUAACUACGUGCCAGCAGCCGCGGUAAUACGUAGGUGGCAAGCGUUAUCCGGAUUUAUUGGGCGUAAAGCGCGCGCAGGCGGUUGCUUAGGUCUGAUGUGAAAGCCUUCGGCUUAACCGAAGAAGUGCAUCGGAAACUGGGAAACGUGAGUGCAGAAGAGGACAGUGGAACUCCAUGUGUAGCGGUGGAAUGCGUAGAUAUAUGGAGGAACACCAGUGGCGAAGGCGGCUGUCUGGGCUGUAACUGACGCUGAGGAUCGAAAGCGUGGGGAGCGAACAGGAUUAGAUACCCCUGUAGUC
rnacentral:rRNA from 1 species